rnacentral:rRNA from 1 species
AUCAACUUUCGAUGGUAGGAUAGAGGCCUACCAUGGUGGUAACGGGUAACGGGGUGUUAGGGCACGACACCGGAGAGGGAGCCUGAGAAACGGCUACCACAUCCAAGGAAGGCAGCAGGCGCGCAAAUUACCCAAUCCCGACACGGGGAGGUAGUGACAAUAAAUAACAAUACAGGGUUCUUUUGGAUCUUGUAAUUGGAAUGAGUACAAUUUAAAUCUCUUAACGAGGAACAAUUGGAGGGCAAGUCUGGUGCCAGCAGCCGCGGUAAUUCCAGCUCCAAUAGCGUAUAUUAAAGUUGUUGCAGUUAAAAAGCUCGUAGUUGAAUUUCGGGAUCAAUAUUUCGGUCAUGCCGUUGGUAUGCACUGUUAUCAUUGAUUUCUCACCUUCUAAAGAACCGUAAUGCCAUUAAUUUGGUGUUACGGGGAAUUAGGACUGUUACCUUGAAAAAAUUAGAGUGUUUAAAGCAGGCUCACGCUUGAAUACAUUAGCAUGGAAUAAUGAAAUAGGACAUCCGAUUUCUAUUUUGUUGGUUUCUAGGAUCGAUGUAAUGAUUAAUAGGGAUAGUUUGGGGGCAUUAGUAUUCAAUUUGUCAGAGGUGAAAUUCUUUGGAUUUUAUUGAAGACUAACUUACUUGCGUAAAUGCAUUUGCCAAUGAUGUUUUCAUUAAUCAAGAACGAAAGUUAGGGGAUCGAAGACUAUCAGAUACCGUCGUAGUCUUAACCAUAAACUAUGCCUACUAGGAUCGGAUUGAUGUUAAUUUUUUAAUGACUCAUUCCCGGCGCCUUACGGGAAACCAAAGUGUUUGGGUUC